GCCCGCCUAGCUCAAUCGGAUAGAGCGUGUGACUUUUAAGGCGGUCAAAAGCCCCUACGAUAUCACAAGGCUGCGAGUUCGACCCUCGCGGUGGGCU
rfam:Trametes versicolor FP-101664 SS1 unplaced genomic scaffold TRAVEscaffold_9, whole genome shotgun sequence.